ACUCCUACGGGAGGCAGCAGUGAGGAAUAUUGGUCAAUGGAGGGAACUCUGAACCAGCCAUCCCGCGUGUAGGAAGACGGCCUUAUGGGUUGUAAACUACUUUUAUACAGGAAGAAACGUACCCUCGUGAGGGUGCCUGACGGUACUGUAGGAAUAAGCACCGGCUAACUCCGUGCCAGCAGCCGCGGUAAUACGGAGGGUGCGAGCGUUAAUCGGAAUUACUGGGCGUAAAGCGCAUGCAGGCGGCCUGUUAAGUCAGAUGUGAAAGCCCGGGGCUUAACCUCGGAAUUGCAUUUGAAACUGGUAGGCUAGAGUCUUGUAGAGGGGGUAGAAUUUCAGGUGUAGCGGUGAAAUGCGUAGAGAUCUGAAGGAAUACCAGUGGCGAAGGCGGCCCCCUGGACAAAGACUGACGCUCAGAUGCGAAAGCGUGGGGAGCAAACAGGAUUAGAUACCCUGGUAGACUGUC
rnacentral:rRNA from 1 species